UGGGACCGGGAGCUCGUCGCGUGGCCACGCAUGAGGGCCAUGAGGAAAGUCCGGGCAGCACAGAGCAGCGUACUCUCGCGAGGAGAGCUAUCGGCAACGGUAGAGUAGUGUGACAGAAAACAACCGCCGGGACCCUCCCGGCAAGGGUGAAAAGGCGGGGUAAGAGCCCACCGGACGCCACAGCGAUAUGGCGUGCCGCACAUCUUGCGCGCUGCAAGGCCAAGCAAACCGGCGCAUAUGGGUUGCUCGCUCAUUGCCGGCGGGUAGGCCGCUUAGAUAAAUGACGGGCGGCGACGCGCGUUUCCCCCCGGGGAUAAUGCCGGCGCCACAUAACUCGGCUUAUACCUGGUCCCUCCAU
rnacentral:RNase_P_RNA from 1 species